AACGAACGCUGGCGGCAUGCCUAACACAUGCAAGUCGAACGAGACCUUCGGGUCUAGUGGCGCACGGGUGCGUAACGCGUGGGAACCUGCCCUUAGGUUCGGAAUAACUCCCCGAAAGGGGUGCUAAUACCGGAUAAUGUCUUCGGACCAAAGAUUUAUCGCCUUUGGAUGGGCCCGCGUUGGAUUAGCUAGUUGGUAGGGUAAAAGCCUACCAAGUCGACGAUCCAUAGCUGGUCUGAGAGGAUGAUCAGCCACACUGGGACUGAGACACGGCCCAGACUCCUACGGGAAGCAGCAGUGGGGAAUAUUGGACAAUGGGCGAAAGCCUGAUCCAGCAAUGCCGCGUGAGUGAUGAAGGCCUUAGGGUUGUAAAGCUCUUUUACCCGGGAUGAUAAUGACAGUACCGGGAGAAUAAGCUCCGGCUAACUCCGUG
rnacentral:rRNA from 1 species